GUGAGUUUUAAGAUAAUGAAAAACAACGAGCAGCUUCUACUGUAAUCUUACUUGAAAGAUCUGAUCAGCAAAAUCAGAGAAGCAUCUGUUAAAUAAAUAAAACUAAAAUUGAGUUUAUGGAUUGGCUUGGGGGUGUGAGGUGCGCCAGGCUUGUGAUGUAGUGCAAUACAGAAACGAUGCGCGAAGACUCUGGCAGCAAGCUACCGUAUGAGUCUUUCCCCUCAAGAAAUUAAUUUAAUAUCGUGCGGAUCAUUGAACCACGUAUCGAAUAUUAAACUGAUAAGAACAGAUACUACACUUGAUCUUAGCCAAAAGGCCGAGAAAGAUAUGCUUUGAGUGGCAUCUUCCCUCGUUAUUUAUGCUGACGUUUUCUUCGCCGGAGCCUUCCCCUGUUACAUGUGGGAUAAUUAUAUCUCGAAAGAGUACUCUUUAAUUAGCCAAUAGGCUAUAUUGGGUGGGCUUUGCCCAUAGAAAUUCAGUAAUUCUCAUGUCUGAAAUUUUUUCCGAGCGCCUGAACAUUUUGUGCAAGCAGCGACCUCACGCGAAAAUCUUGUCUCAAGCUCAACAUAAGUAGCCCUAAAGCUCCGAUAUUUUCAGAUCCACUCUUCGUUUACUGUGAAUAUUGAAGAAGCAGCAACAGUAGGGAAAUUGGUUUUAGUUUGCCUCAUUCUUAAAAAAUUCUGCUGUAGUAGGGUUCGCAAUUCUUUCCUGCAAAUUUUUCCCUUUCUUUCUCAUCGGCAUCAUUCAAAGAACGACACAAUUUGUGCAGAAUCAUGAGGCAUUGCCGGGAAAAACAACUUUCACGCAGUUGAAACAUUCCUCGCCCAGUGCCUGGAAAACAAACUAUAACUCGCAACCAAUAUUUUCGUUCAAAAGGCUGCAAAUUUUUUUGUCUCGAGCUCAAGAAUAGAGUAGCCCUAAAACCCCGACAUUUUUAGAUCGAUUUUUCGUCUACUGUGAAUAGAUUGAAGCAUCAUGUGUUGGGGGAGUUUUGAAAAAAAUUCUGCUGUGGUAGGGUUUCGUAAAAUUUUCCUCCAACUUUAACCAUUUUUUUUCAUGGCAUCGUUGACAGCACGACACAAUUAUGCAGAAUCUGAAAGCCUUGAUUACCCUCUUCACUGCUGUCUGAGAGUAUGGAGAGGGCUUUAAAUUUUGCAGACAACCAAAAACUACAGACUCUUGGUUUGCGGCACCUGAGGUUGGGUAAUGGAAUAGAAAUGAGACUGCAUUGCCUCUUCAAGUCAAAGAUGAGUUCAACAUCCAACAUCCUUCAUUCACUGGACAAAGGAGCCUUUGAUCUGUCUAAAUAUGCAUUCAUGAAUAUCUCCACAAAAUGUAGAUCCAUUUCUUCUUUGGAUUUUUUUUUCAAACAUUGCGAGGAAAGAGUAUGGUGGUGUUAAUGUUAAUUUAUUCUUUGUUUUUCUUUUCUAUUAUAAGCAAAUAUGUUGGUCUCUAUUGCUAGAUUUAUAAUUCAAGGAAGAUUUGAAAUGGCUUGUUAUUCAAAAGUCAGUUUAACUGAUGUUUAGGAGAAUUCUAUAUUUCUGUGUGAGUCCUUUCUAGAUUCUGGUUAGUAAUCUUUUACUAGGAUUUGGUGAAGUUAGACAGAAACACUGUAUAUGAAUUGGGGCAGUUUUUGUAAACCUUAAUUUUGCAUGCAUUUUGCAAGAGGUAUCAAUUACAGAUCCUUAAAGUGGUUU